AUUUACAAUUCCAGCCAAAUUGAUAUACAAGCUUAAAAACAAGAUAUUUUUAAAGUUUUUGAUUUUGAGUCAUUUUGAAAUGUGGUUGCUGCUUUUUUUUUUUAAUUAUCAAAAUACAAAUUUGCACUGAAUUUGAUGAUGGGAAGGUUUCUUAUAUGAUUAUUUACUUUUCAUUUGUGAUUCUAAAAUUGUGUCGUUCAUCUAUUUUCAGAUAAAUUCUGAGUAAAUCUUCUCUGUAUGAAACAAUUUCACAAUCUUUUGGAACACUAGCUGUGUGCACAACAGCUUUCUUCUUUAAAAAAAAAAAACAUAAAGAAAUUUACGGUAGUUUAAUUUGCCAUGGAGCGGUGUUCUAGAUGAAAGCAGGAUCAACAAUGUAAUAUUUACAUCCAUCACGUAUGACUCCCAUUAUUUCUAACGGAAAUUGUUUGCAAUUCAUAGAUCUGUUGAAACUGACUAAACUCUACACGCUCCUUUUAUCGAUUGGUAGAAACCUACACUGACCUAGGACAAAUCAAGGAGGCACGAAAUAAUCAUGAUGAUUUACAUGUCAAACUCAAAUUCCCAUAGGAGACGAUUUGGCUACUUCUUUUAGCUAACGUACUAUAGUCUGUCCCAAGAUAUUUAUGCAGCACAUUUGGACGAUUUGUAAAAAGAAAGAUGUAAAUAUUGACAAUAUGAAAUGCUUUCUUUGAUAAUUCAUGUGAGUUAUGAAAGUAGCGAUGAUUGCAGGAAAAAAUUCAUAGCCUGCUAACACGGGUUAUGUUAUUUUUUUCUGCACUGUCGCCACCUUAAUAUCCGGCAUAAAUCACCAAAGAAAGGGUUUCUGUUUAAGUGUUCCCAAUGGCCAUCCCACACGCUUUGGAGCUAUAAGAAUUAUGUGAAUGCCCUGCACCGCAUUGUUAAUAUGUUAACUCUACAGGUUGAUUAGUGUUGGUGGCAUUGCUUAUUAUUUUCAAUAUAUAUAUUUAUAUAAUUCACAUCAUGAAUAAAUAUUAUAAUUCAU
rnacentral:misc_RNA from 1 species